rnacentral:rRNA from 1 species
UCCAGACUCCUACGGGAGGCAGCAGUGAGGAAUAUUGGUCAAUGGGCUUACGCCUGAACCAGCCAAGUCGCGUGAGGGAAGACUGCCCUAUGGGUUGUAAACCUCUUUUGUCAGGGAGCAAAGGCGUCCACGUGUGGACGAGAGGAGAGUACCUGAAGAAAAAGCAUCGGCUAACUCCGUGCCAGCAGCCGCGGUAAUACGGAGGAUGCGAGCGUUAUCCGGAUUUAUUGGGUUUAAAGGGUGCGUAGGCGGAGUGUCAAGUCAGCGGUAAAAUUUCGGGGCUCAACCCCGUCGUGCCGUUGAAACUGACGCCCUUGAGUGAGUGAGAAGUAUGCGGAAUGCGCGGUGUAGCGGUGAAAUGCAUAGAUAUCGCGCAGAACUCCGAUUGCGAAGGCAGCAUACCGGCGCGCAACUGACGCUCAUGCACGAAAGCGUGGGUAUCGAACAGGAUUAGAUACCCGGGUA